rnacentral:rRNA from 1 species
AGCAGCCGCGGUAAUUCCAGCUCCAAUAGCGUAUAUUAAAGUUGUUGCAGUUAAAAAGCUCGUAGUUGAAUUUCGGGAUUGACACAUCGGUCGUGCCUUAAGGGGUGUGAACUGGUGUAGUCAAUUUCUCACCUUCUGGAGAACCGCGAUGUCCUUAAUUGGGUGCUGCGAGGAACCAGGACCUUUACUUUGAAAAAAAUUAGAGUGUUUAAAGCAGGCAUUUUUGCUUGAAUACAUUAGCAUGGAAUAAUAAAAUAGGACGGCAUGAUUCUAUUUUGUUGGUUUCUAGGAUCACCGUAAUGAUUAAUAGGGAUAGUUGGGGGCAUUAAUAUUCAAUUGUCAGAGGUGAAAUUCUUGGAUUUAUUGAAGACUAACUACUGCGAAAGCAUUUGCCAAGGAUGUUUUCAUUAAUCAAGAACGAAAGUUAGGGGAUCGAAGACGAUCAGAUACCGUCGUAGUCUUAACCAUAAACUAUGCCGACUAAGAAUCAGACGAUGUUAAUUUUUAAUGACUCGUUUGG